GAUCCGGGCUCAGGAUGAACGCUAGCUACAGGCUUAACACAUGCAAGUCGAGGGGCAGCAUGGUCUUAGCUUGCUAAGGCCGAUGGCGACCGGCGCACGGGUGAGUAACGCGUAUCCAACCUGCCUUACACUCUUGGACAGCCUUCUGAAAGGGAGAUUAAUACAAGAUGUUAUCAUGAGUAAGCAUUUUCGCAUGAUUAAAGGUAUUCCGGUAGACGAUGGGGAUGCGUUCCA
rnacentral:rRNA from 1 species